rnacentral:snRNA from 1 species
UAGUGUUACAGCUCUUUUAGAAUUUGUCUAUCAGGCCUUCAGGUGUUUUUUUUUUUUUUUUGCUGGAAAGCCCCU